rnacentral:rRNA from 1 species
UACGUAGGGAGCAAGCGUUAUCCGGAUUUAUUGGGUGUAAAGGGUGCGUAGACGGGAAUUUAAGUUGGUUGUGAAAUCCCUCGGCUCAACUGAGGAACUGCAACCAAAACUGGAUUUCUUGAGUGCUGGAGAGGAAAGCGGAAUUCCUAGUGUAGCGGUGAAAUGCGUAGAUAUUAGGAGGAACACCAGUGGCGAAGGCGGCUUUCUGGACAGUAACUGACGUUGAGGCACGAAAGUGUGGGGAG